GGGCUUUUUUUUUUUUUUUAGAAUAUAUUUCUCUGUGCCUGGAACCUUGGAACAAAAUCUGGCACAGAGUGGAUUGUCAUCAAUGUUUCUUGGAUGAAUGAAUCAAUGCAUCAGUGAGAAUGACUGGAUCCAUCUUUAAGGGGACUGGCCUGCUUCAUGCAUCAUUCAGCAAGCUUAUUUCUUGAGUCCUAUUUGAGAUCAGAGACCGUUCUAAACAAUGAAGGAGUCAGAAAAAGGAAGAGAACCAAGUAGAGAAAUUGGAUUUGAUAUUAUGGUCCUCAAAACGUAGCAUGCCCAGAAGUAAUGAUGAAACUCACUACAUGUAAAACCAGACGUGACUGGUGCCAUCAGAGGCCAGAACAUGCAUCUGUGGGACAUUAAAAUGAUAGACUUCAAGAAAUAUACAAUACUGAGUAUUUCUCUAACCUCUCUAAGACAUCCUGGUGGACUUCAGCUUAUGGCUAGAGUAUGCAUGUGUCAACACCAGAAUAUCUUGUGGGUUAGCCAUACCUUGCCACUCAAAGACUGGUCUGAACCAGCCUCAGCAUCACCAGGCAGCUCCUUAGAGAUGCAGUCUCAUGCCCCACUCAGACCUACUGAAUCAGAAUCUGCAUUUUACAAGACCUCUGGUGAUUCACAAGCAAAUUCAAGUUCAAGAAGCACUGAUAAGUAAUUUCGUCAUUAGCAGCUGGAAGAAAUGUCAAGGUUAGUUUCCCCCAAAUGGAUGGGAUAAAAUUUGUAAGCCAAUUUUCAAGUAUCAGCAAUUUAAU
rnacentral:lncRNA from 1 species